UGGCGGGUAUUAACAUGAACUUCUUCCCGGGAACACGAAUUCGGGACUUACAGUUUGUUAAUAGCGGUUUGACGUAUUUGAUAAGUGUUUGUAAACACUGCCUGUCCUCACCAUCCGCCGGCUCCAGCACUUCCUCCGCGGUCUCGCAUCCUCACCGCCUGCAGAUGAGAAAAAAACAGCAUCUCUGCCCAGCGUCAUAUCUAUCACUGCGCAUGCUUGAGACAUUGGAUGGGACUGCGCCUGCGCACCACUCUUUCCGCGGCCUGAAUCAGGGACAUUCACCAUCGCGCGGCAUGGUGGGGACCUGAAGAUUUUUGAAAACUGGGAUUUUUUUCUUACAACGAUUCUUGUGCUAUCUGUCCAGCUUCAACAUCCAACAGGAGAAUUUAAAUUUGAAAACAAAAAAAUUGUUUCAGAAAAUCAUGGAAUGAUCACAGAACAGAAGGACACCAUUUCAUACAUCAUCAGAGCAAAUCGGCGAGUUUCACUCCCCUCCCUUUCAUUGUAACCAAAGGAGGUUUCUCCCCCCACUGGACCUAAUUGUUGGGAAUGAGCAGGGCGAAGUGUCACUUAAGUAUUUAAGGGAUGAUAAUUAUUGUGUCAGAAGGUUUAGGCUGAUAAUGAAAAUGAUACUGAACAAUCCAGAGUAAAUAAUUAACUCAGGAAAGCCAACUUCAUCUUCUCAGUUGAAGGGUCAAUAAUAAGGGGGCAUAACUUUAAUGUGAAAGGCUUAGAGGGGAUUUGAGGGGAAAAUAAUUCAUCCAGAGGGUGGUGGGGGUCUGUAACACACUUCAGGUGCCUAUCCAGUUCUCUUGUGAAAGCAUUAGAUGAAUUAGUUUGAGUUGGAACAGAGAUGAAGGAGGAGUGCUGGGUUUAAUCCUCAAGCCUUUGGAACACAGUCAAGUCCAGGAAUUCCUAAUAUUUAAUUGUCAAAGGAUGGUAGGUAUUCAGGGACAUCAGGUUGUGAAAUGGACACUGUGCAUUCAAUCUAAUAAGAUGCUAUGUUAGGAACAAGCAUUUCUGUAGAUGCCUUUAAUUCAUUUUUAUAUGUAUGGUCAUGUAUACAAAUGUGUGUGUGCUUUGAAAAUUGUUCUUGAGAUUUGAUCAUCACCAACAUGAUCAGCAGAUUAUAUUGUCACCCCCUAAUUUCCUGUGGACCUUCUUGAAUGCUGCAGUCCA